rnacentral:rRNA from 1 species
UGAGGAAUAUUGGUCAAUGGGCGCAGGCCUGAACCAGCCAAGUAGCGUGAAGGAUGACUGCCCUCUGGGUUGUAAACUUCUUUUAUAUGGGAAUAAAGUUUUCCACGUGUGGAAUUUUGUAUGUACCAUAUGAAUAAGGAUCGGCUAACUCCGUGCCAGCAGCCGCGGUAAUACGGAGGAUCCGAGCGUUAUCCGGAUUUAUUGGGUUUAAAGGGAGCGUAGGUGGACAGUUAAGUCAGUUGUGAAAGUUUGCGGCUCAACCGUAAAAUUGCAGUUGAUACUGGCUGUCUUGAGUACAGUAGAGGUGGGCGGAAUUCGUGGUGUAGCGGUGAAAUGCUUAGAUAUCACGAAGAACUCCGAUUGCGAAGGCAGCUCACUGGACUGCAACUGACACUGAUGCUCGAAAGUGUGGGUAUCAAACAGG